rnacentral:rRNA from 1 species
GACGAACGCUGGCGGCGCGCCUAACACAUGCAAGUCGAACGAGCGAGAGAGAGCUUGCUUUCUCGAGCGAGUGGCGAACGGGUGAGUAACGCGUGAGGAACCUGCCUCAAAGAGGGGGACAACAGUUGGAAACGACUGCUAAUACCGCAUAAGCCCACGACCCGGCAUCGGGUAGAGGGAAAAGGAGCAAUCCGCUUUGAGAUGGCCUCGCGUCCGAUUAGCUAGUUGGUGAGGUAACGGCCCACCAAGGCGACGAUCGGUAGCCGGACUGAGAGGUUGAACGGCCACAUUGGGACUGAGACACGGCCCAGACUCCUACGGGAGGCAGCAGUGGGGAAUAUUGCACAAUGGGGGAAACCCUGAUGCAGCGACGCCGCGUGGAGGAAGAAGGUCUUCGGAUUGUAAACUCCUGUUGUUGAGGAAGAUAAUGACGGUACUUAACAAGGAAGUGACGGCUAACUACGUG